CCUACGGGUGGCAGCAGUGAGGAAUAUUGGUCAAUGGACGCAAGUCUGAACCAGCCAUGCCGCGUGCAGGAAGACGGCUCUAUGAGUUGUAAACUGCUUUUGUACGAGGGUAAACGCAGAUACGCGUAUCUGUCUGACAGUAUCGUACGAAUAAGGAUCGGCUAACUCCGUGCCAGCAGCCGCGGUAAUACGGAGGAUUCAAGCGUUAUCCGGAUUUAUUGGGUUUAAAGGGUGCGUAGGCGGUCGGAUAAGUUAGAGGUGAAAUCCCGAGGCUCAACUUCGGAAUUGCCUCUGAUACGGGUAGGCUAGAGAGUAGUUGCGGUAGGCGGAAUGUAUGGUGUAGCGGUGAAAUGCUUAGAGAUCAUACAGAACACCGAUUGCGAAGGCAGCUUACCAAGCUACUUCUGACGUUGAGGCACGAAAGCGUGGGGAGCAAACAGGAUUAGAUACCCUAGUAGUC
rnacentral:rRNA from 1 species